rnacentral:rRNA from 1 species
UCGGGUUGUAAAGCACUUUUGUCCGGAAAGAAAACUUCCUGGUUAAUACCUGGGGAGGAUGACGGUACCGGAAGAAUAAGCACCGGCUAACUACGUGCCAGCAGCGCGGUAAUCGUAGGGUGCGAGCGUUGAUCGGAAUUACUGGGCGUAAAGCGUGCGCAGGCGGUUCGUUAAGACAGAUGUGAAAUCCCCGGGCUUAACCUGGGAACUGCAUUUGUGACUGGCGAGCUAGAGUAUGGCAGAGGGGGGUAGAAUUCCACGUGUAGCAGUGAAAUGCGUAGAGAUGUGGAGGAAUACCGAUGGCGAAGGCAGCCCCCUGGGCCAAUACUGACGCUCAUGCACGAAAGCGUGGGGAGCAAACAGGAUUAGAUACCCUGGUAGUCCACGCCCUAAACGAUGUCAACUAGUUGUUGGGGAUUCAUUUCCUUAGUAACGUAGCUAACGCGUGAAGUUGACCGCCUGGGGAGUACGGUCGCAAGAUUAAAACUCAAAGGAAUUGACGGGGACCCGCACAAGCGGUGGAUGAAUGUGGAUUAAUUCGAUGCAACGCGAAAAACCUUACCUACCCUUGACAUGGUCGGAACCCCGCUG